UGCGCUCGGUAGACAAAAGGCUGCGGAGAAUCAGCAGCCUGGAGGACCGGGGCUCCGGCUGGGCGGUUUCAUCAGCGCCGGCGGCCGCAGCCCGACUGAGGAACAAUCGCUGCGGCAGCCCCAGGCGUUCCCUCCUCGCGAUCCGGGCCGCCGAUGAGCAAAGGUAAGAUCAGCAAGCCACUUCUGUCUGGGAACCUUGACAACAACAGCCCGCCAGUUCUGUCUCCGUCAGCUCACCGGCACUUGAAUACCACCAACCUUUUGAAUGAGGAGGAGGAGGUGCUUAAGAAGACAGCACGCCAAUCACAGCGUGGUGAAUCUGAACACGUGUAGAGUGUAGGGUUGAGAGUUGGAUGGGCCGACCUGGAGAUAAACCUUAUGAAUUGUCUUCAAGUCAUUGAAAGAGUUACCAAAUAUUUCCUUGGCGGAUUUUAGAGAAGAUGUGCCUCCUCCUAGCUGGAAGCGUGCUUUGGGCCUGAAAUGAAGUUUUCUGUUCUAACUCGGUGAAAUCCACUGGAACCGGGGUGCUGGGAGCACACCAGCAUCUGUCCUCUAGAAAUCGGCUCUUCACCUGUGUUCACAAUGAGGGGGACUCACUACAACUGACCUCUGACUUUAUGAGUUGCCAGAGAAUGGAUAGAAGGGAGAUACUGUUCACCUUCUCUCAGUGUGAGAGGGGAUUCUGUUGACUCACAGAGAUACCAGGGAGUCCGUACUGGGGAGGGGUCAAUCGCCUGCUCUGAGUGUGGGAGGGGACAUACUCAGUCAUCCAGCCUGAAGGUACAUCAACAUGUUCACCCUAUAGUGAGGCGGUUCACCAGUUCGGGCUGAGGGGAUCAAUUCAUCUGCUAUUCAGAUUGAAUUCAAUUCAGGCACAAUCUAUAAGGGGUUUGUGCGUUCCCCCUGCAACAUGUGGGUUUCUUCCUGGUGCUCUGGUUUCCUUCCACAAUCCAAAGAUGUAUCGGCUAAUUGGUCCGUGUAAAUUGUCCUGAGAUUAGGCUAGGGUUGAGUUGCUGAGUGGUGUGGCUUAUUGGGCCAGAAGAGACUGUUCCAUGCUGUAUCUCUAAAUAAAAUGAAAUAAAACUCACAUCAGUUAGAGGCCACUCAACCUACUCCGUGUGGGAAGAGAUUCACUGGCUCACUUCGCUCAACAGUGAGUCCACGAGGGAGAGAGACUGUCCUUCUCUUCUGUGUGUGUGUGUGGGGGCAGGGAUUCACUAAUUCAUCCCACGUGAUGAGACACCAGGGAGUUCACACUGGGGCAAGGCCAUUCGCCUGCUCUGAAUGUGGGAAGAGAUUCAUUCACUCGCACGGUCUACUGACACACCGGCGAGCUCACGCUGGGGAGAUAUCGCACGUCUGCUCCGAGUGUGGGCAGGGAUUCACUCGGUCAUCCCACCUACUGGCCCACCGGCGAGUUCACACCGGGGAGAGCCCCUUCACCUGUUCGGUGUGUGGGAAAGGAUUCACUCGGUCGACUCACCUGGUAAGACACCAGCGGGGUCACACUGGGGAGAGGCCCUUUACCUGUUCUGAAUGUGGGAAGGGAUUUAUUCGGUCAUCCCACCUACUGGCUCAUCAGCGACUUCACACCGGAGAGAGACCGUUCACUUGCACCGAAUGUGGGAAGAGAUUUACUGAGUCAUCUAACCUGCUGGCGCACCAGCGAGUUCACACUGGGGAGAGGCCGUUCACCUGCUCUGAAUGUGGAAAGGCAUUUACUCGGUCAUCUAAUCUACUGGCACACCAGAGAGUUCACACCGGGGAGAGACCGUUCACUUGCCCUGAAUGUGGGAAGGGAUUCACUCGUUCAAAUAACGUACUGGCACACCAGCGAGUUCACACUGUGGGGAACCUGUUCACCUGUUCCGGCUCGGGGAAGGAAUUUGUUUGGUCAACUGACCUGAUAACACACCAGCUAGGUCACACUGGGGAGAGGCCAUUCAUGUGCUCUGAUUGUGGGAAGGGAUUUACUCGGUCGUCUAACCUUCUGAUACACCAGCGGGUUCACACUGGAGAGAGACCGUUCACCUGCUCCGAAUGUGGGAAGAGGUUCACUCACUCGUCCCACCUUAUGACGCACCUGCGAGUUCACAGUGGGGAGAGGCCGUUCACCUGCUCUGAAUGUGGGAAGGGAUUCACUCAUUCAUCCAACCUUGUGACGCACUACCGAGUUCACGCUCGGGAAAGUGUUUAAAUAAGCUGCCUGCGGAUGUUUAACCAUCAGAGUUCCCGAGUCCAGAGGCAAGUUCACAAAGUACUGAGUUUACUCCGGACCUGGGUCCACUCAUCUGAAGAUCAUUACAAAGUACGUCCAGGUCACCAUAUGCUACCCUGUAAUCCAUUUUCUUGUGUGUGGGCAUUCACAGUAAGUAUGAAGAGACACAAUGAAAGACUGCACCCAGCAGGACGAACAAACAACCAAUGUGCCAAAGACAAAGGACUGCAAAUACAAAAAGAAAGAAAGAAAAAAGAAAUAGUAAUUAAUAAGCAAUAAUAUAAAGAACAUGAGAUGAACAGUCCUUGAAAGGUGUUGUGGGAACGGUUCAUUGACAGGGCGAGUUAAUAACCUGGUGAUUGCGGGGUAAUAACUUUCCGAACUGGGUGGUGUGAAUCCUAGGGGUCCUGGAUCACCUUCCUGAUGGCAGCAGUGGGAUGAACGCAUGGCCUGGUGGGAAUCCUUCACGGAUGCUGCUUUCCUCGGACCGUGCUCUGUGUCAGUGUGCUCAGUGGUAGGGAGGGUUUUACCCAUGAUGGUCUCGGCUGCACGCACUACUUUUUUGUUGGUCAUUAGUGUUUCCAUACUAGGCUGUGAUGCAGCCAGUCAGUGUACUCAUCAAUAGGUACAAUUAAUGUCAGAGAAAUGUAUACAAUAUACACCCUGAAAUUCUUUUUCUUUGCAAACAUCCAUGAAACGGAGCAGUGCCCCAAAGAAUGAAUGACAGUUAAACGUUAGAACCCCAAAGCCCCCCCAACUCCCCCCUCCCUCCCCCACCAUCACCACACAUCUAUGAAAGUCGAAGCGGAGCUGCAGGUAGUUUUGAGGAAGUAGGGAUUAUGCAGAAGGUCUUAGACAGAUUAGGAGAAUGGGUUUAAGACGGUGCUGGUGAAACCCAGCCACGACUUAUUGGCAGCAAACGAAACAAGGACUGCAACUAGAUACUUUAUUAAUAAUACUUUCCCUGGUAAACACGCUAAUGGUAAAUGAUCACCACAAACAAUGGAGAGGAGAGCAAAGGCGAGGCUGAGUCAAAGCGUGCGGGUACAAGGCGAAGUCAGAAGUGAGGUCGAGGCAAAAUCGGGGCGAGCGGAGGAGAGGCCGAUUCGAGGCCCGCCCGCUGAAACCUAGAGCAAGUUUUGAUCGGUCUAAGCACCAGGCCGAUUUGGAAACAUGGCGGUGUGGUCUGGUUUCAGAGUGUAUCGAUGCAACAGGGCCAGCGUCCUCGAGCCAGGAACGAUCCAGUGUUUGGACGAUAUAAACACUGGGCCAAAUGGAUUUAAAAGGGGCACUCAGGUUGGAGGAGUAUUCCAUCUGGGUAGCCUCCAACCUGAUGGCAUGAACAUUGACUUUUCAAACUUCUGGUAAUGCCCACCCAGCACUUCACCAUUCCCCUUUCCCUCCCUCACCUUAUCUCCUUACCUGGCUGUCACCUCCCUCUGGUGCUCCUCCCCCUUUUCUUUCUUCCUCUCCCAUCAGAUUCCCAUUCUCCAGUCCUUUAUCUCUUUUACCAAUCAGCCCCAGGUCUUUAUUUCAUCCCUUCUACCCCCUCCCGGUUUCACCUAUCACCUCGUGUUUCUUCAUCCUCUCACCCCCACCUUUUAACUCUACUCAUCAUUUUUCCUCCGGUCCUCAUGAAGGAUCUCGGCUUGAAACAUUGACCGUUCACGCUUUUCCGUAGAUGCUGCCCGGCCUGCUGAGUUCCUCCAGCAUUUUGUGUGUGUUGCCCCGAAUAGGUGGACACCCUUUUAGGACAGAGAUGAGGAGGAAUUUCUUUAGCCAGAAGGUGGUGACUCUGGAAUUCAUUGCCACAGUGUGGGCUCUGUCAUAGGAAAUAUAUAAAGUGGAGGCUGCUUUUUGAUUAGUGAAAGCUGCAAAGGUUACAAGGAGAAGGCAGGAAAAUGGUUUUGAGAGGGAUAAUAAAUUAGCCAUGAUGGAAUGGUGGAACAGACUCGAUGGCUGAUUCUGUUCCUAUGUCUUAUGGUCUUAUUUAAAGUAAUUAAAGAGUAAACAUUUUGGGUCAAGACCCUUCAUCAGGAAUGGAAAACGGCAAGAAAGAAGCCAGAAUAGGAUUUUUUUUUCGAUUAUGAGAACACUCAGUCCUCUUUUAUUGUCAUUUAGAAAUGCAUACGUGCAUUAAGAAAUGAUACAAUGUUUCUCCAGAGUGAUAUCACAGAAAAACAGGACAAACCAAAGAUUAACACUGAUAGAACCACAUACUUAUAACAUAUAGUUACAGCAGUGCAAAGCAAUACCAUAAUUUGAUGAAGAACAAACCAUGGGCACAGUAAAAAAAAGUCUCAAAGUCCCCCGAGUCGAUCGACUCUCGAGUCCCUGAUAGUGGCGGCAAAAGGGAGAAACUCCCUACCAUAAACCUCCAGGCGCCGUCAACUUGCCGAUGCCUUGGAAGCAGCUGAC